GCAAGGGUAGUUUCCAACUGGUAACGGUUAUGGGCAACCAUAUUAUGCAGGUUCGAAUCCUGCCGCCCUUGCA
rnacentral:tRNA from 2 species